UAAUCGUCAGGUUGGUGCUUU
rnacentral:piRNA from 1 species